UACGGGGGGGGCAAGCGUUGUUCGGAAUUACUGGGCGUAAAGGGCUCGUAGGCGGCCAACUAAGUCAGACGUGAAAUCCCUCGGCUUAACCGGGGAACUGCAUCUGAUACUGGAUGACUUGAGUUCGGGAGAGGGAUGCGGAAUUCCAGGUGUAGCGGUGAAAUGCGUAGAUAUCUGGAGGAACACCGGUGGCGAAGGCGGCAUCCUGGACCGACACUGACGCUGAGGAGCGAAAGCCAGGGGAGCAAACGGG
rnacentral:rRNA from 1 species